rnacentral:rRNA from 1 species
GUCCACGCCGUAAACUAUCAAUACUCGUUUUCAGCGAUAUACAGUUGGAGACUAAGCGAAAGUGAUAAGUAUUGCACCUGGGGAGUACGAUCGCAAGGUUGAAACUCAAAGGAAUUGACGGGGGCCCGCACAAGCGGUGGAGCAUGUGGUUUAAUUCGAUGAUACGCGAGGAACCUUACCAGGGCUUAAAUGUAGUCUGACGUACUUGGAAACAGGUAUUUCUUCGGACAGAUUACAAGGUGCUGCAUGGCUGUCGU